rnacentral:lncRNA from 1 species
CGUGCGAACCGCAGCCCGCCGCGGCAGCCCGGGGCUCCCAGCGAGCGCCCCGAGGCUGCCCGUGCCCGUGCGACUGGCGGGGAUCAGCGAGCAGGCUCCGGUGCUGCACCGGUGAAAGCACCGCGGAGCGGCUCCGAGACGGCACUGCCCGUCCCCGCGACACCAGCAAGCACCGAUAAGGAAGAGCGCGCUGCGCCACCGCUCCAUGAGCACCGAGAAGGGGCGACGAGCACGCUCCAUUCGCUUACCCGUUACCAAAACGGCGGAGAGCAGCGGCGAACACGGCGACCAGCACUGCACGUGUGCGCGCCGGCUGUGUGCGCAUGCGCAUCCCCGUUAUGGCUGCAAUACCUCUUUUUGGACACGCGAGGGCAGCAGUGAGUACGACGGAAUUGAGUGCGCAUGCGCGCCCCCGCUUUCGGGUGCAAUACCGCUUUUGGACACCCGAGGGCAGCAGUGAGUGCGGCGGAACGCACUGCGCAUGCGCACUCGCCUUGCGGGUGCAAUGCCGCUUUUGGACAGCCGAGGGCAGCAGUGAGUGCGGCGGAACGCACUGCGCAUGCGCGUCCCCCCCUUUCGAGUGCAAUACUGUUCUAAUUCUGUUCUGCCCGUGCUCGAGAGACCGGUUGGGAUCAGCACGCAGGCUCUGGCGCUGCACCGGUGAAAGAGCAGCGCGGAGCAGCUCUGAGACAGCACUGCCCGUCCCCACGACACCAAAAAAAGCACCGAUAAGGAAGAGCGCGCUGCGCCACCGGUCCAUGAGCGCCGAGAAGGGGCGACGAGCACGGCCCAUUCGCUUUCCUGUUACCGGAACGGCGCAGAGUAGCGGCGACUACGGCGACCAGCACUGCACGUGUGCGUGCCGGCUGUGUGCGCAUGCGCGCCCCGUUAUGGCUGCAAUACCGCUUUUUCGGCACGCGAGGGCAGCAGUGAGUGCGGCGGAAGGCAGUGCGCAUGCGCUCUGCUCUUGCGGGUGCAAUACCGACUUUUCGACACGGAGGGCAGCAGUGAGCAAUGUUAAGUCAGUGCGCAUGCGCGAGUCGCUCUGUGCUGUGCUUACCUGUCACCACAUGAGGGCAGCAGUGAGAGCGGGUCCUCUCCGCAGUGCCGGUCGGCCGUCAUCCGUAGGCAGCGGUGAGCGCAGCCGGGGGUGGGGGGGCACACCGCUUUAUUAACACAGCUUUCAUUUGAACGUUGCAAAUACUCCACAGGCAAAAAAUAUCCAGAGGCUGCACUAAAAAACCCCCCACCUACUUAGUGGGACAAUUUGCAACCAUUCAAGAAGCAACCUCUUUAGGACUUUCAACCUCUUGCCUUUACUGAUUGUUAAACAAAAUAAACAGCCCAAAGCAAGCUGUGCUGUUUUCUUG